UGCAAAUGUCUUAGGAGGGAUUCGAAAAAUAAGAUUGACUGUGGAGUCUAUCUUAUGCGGCACAUGGAAUCGUAUAAAGGCCAAGGGGUUUC